ensembl:lncRNA
CCGUGGAAAGGGCCAUAGCAGAUCCAAGGUUGCAGAGGUUUUGUGUGUGUUGUCACUGGAUGCCUGAAGAAAAUGGCAGAGAGAAAGGACCGUUCCAGGGAACUGGUUGCUUUGUGCCCCAGCUGAAGGAAAAGAGGCAAGGAAGUCACUGCACAUUCCUGUUGCCUGAGGAGAACCUUGGCCAGUCUCUGCUGAGCUCAUACUACUUGGGUAUGAAAGUUCCUAAGAGAAGAGGAGAAGAUCUCUCUGUCCACCACCUCUGGAACUACACUGACCUGAUCUCCAAAAAGUGUAAAAAUAACAGUGCUAUUCUUUUGAGGGAGAAGUAUGAUAGAAGACUCAAAUAACCUUGUAGCACUUACCUGAAUAUUGCCCUGAGGGAAGUUGAGUGCUGGAUGGGACAAAUUGCUAGAGAAGAGGCAAAGAAGAGGAACAAAUGUUGAGAAAUAAAGGCUCACAUUCCUGACUGCUAGGGUUCCCCUUUCAGGAUCCCCAUGGGCAAAUGGAAGAGGGAGGAAUGGCCAGCUUACCAUUAGAGUUGUUGUCAGCUGCCAACUGGCAAUAUUAGUACUGGGGAACCUUCUACUAGAGCAAGGAAGGCAGCGAAGCUUGAACUAAAGAUCUGAAGCACUUUGCUGUGUCAUCUAUCUUCAUUGUCCCUUCUGGGAGCCACAGAAAUGGUACACACCCCAUCUGGGAACCAAAAACACCUAGCAACUGCAGCCUGAAUGAGGGCUUGAAAUGCUCUGCCAUUUCAUUUAUCUUCUCCGUCCCUCCUGGCAACCAGAGAAACAGUGGCUGAAGGCACACCCCACCCAGAAACCAGAGACAGCAAGUGCUGUACCCUGAGCAGAAGCCUGAAAGCAAGCCAUUCCAUUCAUCCCCUGCUUCCUGUCUGCAGCACUGUACCUGGCACAGGAGUCACUUAGAAUAUGCAAACUAGGAGGAUGGAACUUCCAGAAAUUCUCACAGAGAAAAUAUAAGGUGACAGAAGCAUACAUCCGAACACCCAAACUGACCUUCUGUGAAUGAGAUAUUCCCCUAACUUUCAUUGAUAUCCCCACUGGUUUUUAAACUCACCCAUGUAAGUUGGAUUAUUUGACCCGAGAUACUCUUUCAGAGUUGAUUGUGUCAGUUAUUAGAGGUUGCCAGUCCUUGGGUCUGGAGUGGUGGGGAGUUGUGAGAAGCCAUUUGGUGACUGUCAACAUCACUAUGUUAUUCCUGUCUAUCCCUAUGUAUUGGAUUGGUUCCAAUUGGACCUUAACCAAAAUUAAACGAAAUAUGUGCUUAGGCUCUUUGGUGUUUCUAAAAUCCACUUUUUUUUCUCAUGCUUUAUUCCAACCACUAAAUAAACA